UACGUAGGGUGCAAGCGUUUAAUCGGAAUUACUGGACGUAAAGCGUGCGCAGGCGGUUUUGUAAGUCAGAUGUGAAAUCCCCGGGCUUAACCUGGGAACUGCGUUUGAAACUACAAGGCUAGAGUGUGGCAGAGGGGGGUGGAAUUCCACGUGUAGCAGUGAAAUGCGUAGAGAUGUGGAGGAACACCGAUGGCGAAGGCAGCCCCCUGGGCCAAUACUGACGCUCAUGCACGAAAGCGUGGGGAGCAAACAGG
rnacentral:rRNA from 1 species